rnacentral:rRNA from 1 species
AGAGUUUGAUCAUGGCUCAGAUUGAACGCUGGCGGCAGGCCUAACACAUGCAAGUCGAGCGGAUGAAGGGAGCUUGCUCCUGGAUUCAGCGGCGGACGGGUGAGUAAUGCCUAGGAAUCUGCCUGGUAGUGGGGGAUAACGUCCGGAAACGGGCGCUAAUACCGCAUACGUCCUGAGGGAGAAAGUGGGGGAUCUUCGGACCUCACGCUAUCAGAUGAGCCUAGGUCGGAUUAGCUAGUUGGUGGGGUAAAGGCCUACCAAGGCGACGAUCCGUAACUGGUCUGAGAGGAUGAUCAGUCACACUGGAACUGAGACACGGUCCAGACUCCUACGGGAGGCAGCAGUGGGGAAUAUUGGACAAUGGGCGAAAGCCUGAUCCAGCCAUGCCGCGUGUGUGAAGAAGGUCUUCGGAUUGUAAAGCACUUUAAGUUGGGAGGAAGGGCAGUAAGUUAAUACCUUGCUGUUUUGACGUUACCAACAGAAUAAGCACCGGCUAACUUCGUGCCAGCAGCCGCGGUAAUACGAAGGGUGCAAGCGUUAAUCGGAAUUACUGGGCGUAAAGCGCGCGUAGGUGGUUCAGCAAGUUGGAUGUGAAAUCCCCGGGCUCAACCUGGGAACUGCAUCCAAAACUACUGAGCUAGAGUACGGUAGAGGGUGGUGGAAUUUCCUGUGUAGCGGUGAAAUGCGUAGAUAUAGGAAGGAACACCAGUGGCGAAGGCGACCACCUGGACUGAUACUGACACUGAGGUGCGAAAGCGUGGGAAGCAAACAGGAUUAGAUACCCUGGUAGUCCACGCCGUAAACGAUGUCGACUAGCCGUUGGGAUCCUUGAGAUCUUAGUGGCGCAGCUAACGCGAUAAGUCGACCGCCUGGGGAGUACGGCCGCAAGGUUAAAACUCAAAUGAAUUGACGGGGGCCCGCACAAGCGGUGGAGCAUGUGGUUUAAUUCGAAGCAACGCGAAGAACCUUACCUGGCCUUGACAUGCUGAGAACUUUCCAGAGAUGGAUUGGUGCCUUCGGGAACUCAGACACAGGUGCUGCAUGGCUGUCGUCAGCUCGUGUCGUGAGAUGUUGGGUUAAGUCCCGUAACGAGCGCAACCCUUGUCCUUAGUUACCAGCACCUCGGGUGGGCACUCUAAGGAGACUGCCGGUGACAAACCGGAGGAAGGUGGGGAUGACGUCAAGUCAUCAUGGCCCUUACGGCCAGGGCUACACACGUGCUACAAUGGUCGGUACAAAGGGUUGCCAAGCCGCGAGGUGGAGCUAAUCCCAUAAAACCGAUCGUAGUCCGGAUCGCAGUCUGCAACUCGACUGCGUGAAGUCGGAAUCGCUAGUAAUCGUGAAUCAGAAUGUCACGGUGAAUACGUUCCCGGGCCUUGUACACACCGCCCGUCACACCAUGGGAGUGGGUUGCUCCAGAAGUAGCUAGUCUAACCGCAAGGGGGACGGUUACCACGGAGUGAUUCAUGACUGGGGUGAAGUCGAAACAAGGUA